GUUUUUAAAACAAAUUUUAGCAGCCCUUCCCCCUGGACCUUUCAUAUGGUCCCAUGCCAGAGCAAACUGUGGCUCUGAACCAUUGUCUGGCCUCUUCCUAUAGGUAACUGGUGAUGAAGUGGGUUGCACAGUG
ensembl:snoRNA